rnacentral:rRNA from 1 species
UACGGGGGGGGCAAGCGUUGUUCGGAAUUACUGGGCGUAAAGGGCUAGUAGGUGGCUAACUAAGUCAGACGUGAAAUCCCUCGGCUUAACCGAGGAAUUGCGUCUGAUACUGGAUAGCUUGAGUUUGGGAGAGGGAUGCGGAAUUCCAGGUGUAGCGGUGAAAUGCGUAGAUAUCUGGAGGAACACCGGUGGCGAAGGCGGCAUCCUGGACCAAUACUGACACUGAAUAGCGAAAGCCAGGGGAGCAAACGGG